UGGGGAAUAUUGGACAAUGGGCGAAAGCCUGAUCCAGCCAUGCCGCGUGUGUGAAGAAGAUCUUCGGAUUGUAAAGGACUUUAAGUUGGGAGGAAGGGCAUUAACCUAAUACGUUAGUGUUUUGACGUUACCGACAGAAUAAGCACCGGCUAACUCUGUGCCAGCAGCCGCGGUAAUACAGAGGGUGCAAGCGUUAAUCGGAAUUACUGGGCGUAAAGCGCGCGUAGGUGGUUUGUUAAGUUGGAUGUGAAAUCCCCGGGCUCAACCUGGGAACUGCAUUCAAAACUGACUGACUAGAGUAUGGUAGAGGGUGGUGGAAUUUCCUGUGUAGCGGUGAAAUGCGUAGAUAUAGGAAGGAACACCAGUGGCGAAGGCGACCACCUGGACUAAUACUGACACUGAGGUGCGAAAGCGUGGGGAGCAAACA
rnacentral:rRNA from 1 species